rnacentral:rRNA from 1 species
UACGUAGGCGGCGAGCGUUGUCCGGAUUUACUGGGCGUAAAGGGAGCGUAGGCGGGCUUUUAAGUGAGAUGUGAAAUACUCGGGCUCAACUUGAGUGCUGCAUUUCAAACUGGAAGUCUAGAGUGCAGGAGAGGAGAAUGGAAUUCCUAGUGUAGCGGUGAAAUGCGUAGAGAUUAGGAAGAACACCAGUGGCGAAGGCGAUUCUCUGGACUGUAACUGACGCUGAGGCUCGAAAGCGUGGGGAGCAAACAGG